GACGAACGCUGGCGGCGUGCCUAAUACAUGCAAGUCGAACGCAGUGGGGACGGGUGAGUAACACGUGGGUAACCUCCCAUCAGAGGGGAUAACACUUGGAAACAGGUGCUAAACCGAUACUGAUGGAUGAACCCGCGGUGCAUUAGCUAGUUGGUGAGGUAACGGCUCACCAAGGCCACGCUGCAUAGCCGACCUGAGAGGUCGUUCGGCCACAUUGGGACUGAACCACGGCCCAAAAUCCUACGGGAGGCAGCAGUAGGGAACCUUCGGAAAUGGACGAAAGUCGGACCGAUCAACGCCGUGUGAGUGAAGAAGGUUUACAGAUCGUAAAACUCUUUUGUUAGAGAAGCGGUAUCUAACCAGAAAGCCACGGCUAACUACGUGCCAGCAGCCGCGGUAAUAC
rnacentral:rRNA from 1 species